ACAAAAAGAUCUGCUCUACACUUCACUCCAAUCCGCCAUCUUUUCUACCGUCGCUGGUUUGAAACUCGUGUUCUCUGAGUUUUUGGCAGCGUAAAUCUUCGUCGCCGCAUCAUAGUUCUUACGAAAUCGAACGAACCACGGCUGCGAGAGAGGCUCUAUACCAACAUGCUCUCAGGGAAAAAAGGAAAAGGAAGACAGCUAUAGAUAGUGCAGCUAAUUCUGCCCACCCACAUACUCAAUCAACCGGCAUUACCAAUAGCCAAGAUGUCCAAAAACUGGCAGAGGAAUUUAAGGAAGGCCUUGUUGAGUUGAGGGCUGUCAUGGCUGAGCUUAGAAAUAUGCAUGCCGAGUAUUAUGCUUGGAAGAACUCUCCUGAUGGAGCAUCAGUAAGAGCCCCGUGAUGUAGCCGCACCCAUAGAAUGUCGGAGACGCCGGGGACCGAGGUCCACGAACCACUUCCGGUCGGGUCCCGUGGCUUGGUAAAACAUGUUGCAGAAGGGAUCAUGUUGUCCGCCCCCACCCCAGGUUUGUUAUCGCAAUUUAAUAUGUGAUGUGUC